rnacentral:rRNA from 1 species
GAUUCCCAUAUCAAUCAGCGGAGGAAGUUUCUUAUUGUGACUUCUGAGUAAAACAAACAAAUAAAUCAAAACUUUCAACAACGGAUCUCUUGGUUCUGGCAUCGAUGAAGAACGCAGCAAAAUGCGAUAAGUAAUGUGAAUUGCAGAAUUCAGUGAAUCAUCGAAUCUUUGAACGCACAUUGCGCCCGCUGGUAUUCCGGCGGGCAUGCCUGUUCGAGCGUCAUUUCAACCCUCAAGCCCCCGGGUUUGGUGUUGGGGAUCGGCUCUGCCUCACGGCGGUGCCGCCCCCGAAAUACAUUGGCGGUCUCGCUGCAGCCUCCAUUGCGUAGUAGCUAACACCUCGCAACUGGAACGCGGCGCGGCCAUGCCGUAAGACCCCAACUUCUGAAUGUUGACCUCGGAUCAGGUAGGAAUACUCGCUGAACUUAAGCAUAUCAAUACGCGGAGGAAAUUUUAUUCGGCUUUUGAUAUGCUUCCCCCGCAGGUACACCUACAGUAUCCGUCCGCCGCUCAUGGAUAC